UCACUAUUUGUGUUCCACAGAUGGUGCACAACUAUUCUCAUAAACUCGAUUCUUCCUUCACUCCGUAUGUGGACAUCUGACUGCUAACUAUUUUUGGCAAAAUGAAUUUCUCAUUUAUUUUUAAAUAAAUGAUUAAAAGCCCAACAUAAGGAGCCCCCCCCCCACAGGCUGGAAUUGACUGUGGCGCCCCUCACCAUGGUUGUCAUUACUACAAUUCACUGGAAGUGUGACGUCUGUGUGCCCCAUUUUCCAUGAUCUUUAGACAACUAUCUAAGUACCUGAAAUAAAUUUUGUAAUGUUUUCCUCAAAAUAAAGUCUUGUGAUGUACAUAUGAAUGAACACAAAGAAGGUUCCUUACGUUUAGGAAGAAUGGAAAUUUCUUUUCCAGGAUUAAUUAAAUAAUUUUCCGCCAGUUUUGUUCUGCAAUGGAUUGUUUAUUGCAAUUUUGCUCAUUUAUGUAAGUUUUAUUUCUAUUCCACCGAAAAUUGAAAUAGAAAUCCUCAUCUUUGACAUGUUCUUCGAGAAUUGAAUGACAAAAGAAAUUAUUCACUCGUGUAUUGACAAGUGAAAUUGAUUUAUAAAAUUAUGGUAGAUUUAUUUUUCAUUAUUACUUUAUUCUUAAUAUUGUAAUAGAAACGUUGACUAAUUUCAUUCAAUAUUCAUUUUGUCUCUCUUACGGUUUCAUCACUUCGUCUCACUCAGCACAAUCAUAUCUCUCUGUGCUUAUUACAAAGUUAUUAUAAAAUCUUAUUGUAUUUGAAAAAAAAACGCAAAAAUUCAAAUUUU